rnacentral:rRNA from 1 species
UACAGAGGUCUCAAGCGUUUGUUCGGAUUCAUUUGGGCGUAAAGGGUGCGUAGGCGGUGCGGUAAGUCGGGUGUGAAAUCUUGGAGCUUAACUCCGAAAACUGCAUUCGAUACUGCCGUGCUUGAGGACUGGAGAGGAGACUGGAAUUUACGGUGUAGCGGUGAAAUGCGUAGAUAUCGUAAGGAAGACCAGUGGCGGAAGGCGGGUC